rnacentral:lncRNA from 1 species
AAAAGCCAAAAAUUCAUGAUCUAAGCUUUUAUCUCAAAAAGCUAGAAAAAGACCAUCAAAUAAAAUCCAAGGGAAAUAGAAGGAAGUAAAAAUAAAGACACCAGGAAAAUGUCGUGAAAUAAAAAAUAGAAUAGAAAACAUCAAAAUAGCCAAAAGUGAUAUCUGAAAAGUUUAACAAAAUUAAUAACAUGCCAGUAAAACUGUUUGAGAGGAAACACAUUACUAAUAUUGAAAAUAAAGAAGUAAACAUUAACUAUAGAUCUUACUAAUGCUAAAAGAAAACUUAAUACUAAUAUAUUUGACACUUCAGUGAAUAGUAAAUUCCUUAAAAUACACAAUGUACCCAAACUGACACUAAAAAUGUAAGAAAAUUUGAGUAGUCUUAUAUUUGUUAAAACAAUUGAAUCCACUAGUGAAAGACUUCCCAUAAAGAAAACUCUAGACUCAAGUGGCUUCACUGGUGGAUUGUGCCAAAU